rnacentral:rRNA from 1 species
AACGAACGCUGGCGGCAGGCUUAACACAUGCAAGUCGAACGCAUCCUUCGGGGUGAGUGGCAGACGGGUGAGUAACGCGUGGGAACGUGCCCUUCAGUUCGGGAUAACCCAGGGAAACUUGGGCUAAUACCGGAUACGUGCGAGAGCAGAAAGAUUUAUCGCCGAAGGAUCGGCCCGCGUCUGAUUAGCUAGUUGGUGGGGGAAUGGCCCACCAAGGCGACGAUCGGUAGCUGGUCUGAGCGGAUGAUCAGCCACAUUGGGACUGAGACACGGCUCAAACUCCUACGGGAGGCAGCAGUGGGGAAUAUUGGACAAUGGGCGCAAGCUUGAUCCAGCCAUGCCGCGUGAGUGAUGAAGGCCUUAGGGUUGUAAAGCUCUUUCGUCCGGGACGAUAAUGACGGUACCGGAAGAAGAAGCCCCGGCUAACUUCGUGCCAGCCGCCGCGGUAA